rnacentral:tRNA from 1 species
GGUAGUAUGGCUGAGAAAGCGGUAAAUUGUAAAUUUACAUACGAACUUAAUAGUUCUGCUACCA